CCUCCUGUUUUGCUUCAAUGAAGGAAAUAACACUUUACAACUUAUGUUAAUGUCACCCUCUUUUCUUGCAAGAAUUUCAGGUUGAGCAGGGAUACCACACUUGCGGCAUCAGGCGUCUGUAAUUCAGCUUUGUUCUAACAUCCAAAAUUACAAGCUCUCGCCAUCUGCUUCAGAAAUACCUGCAUUGUAUAUACUAUCAAAGACCUCUAGUCUUCUAAUGGAGUGGCUUCCUUUUCUUCUCUGAUCUUCAGCUUCUCCUUUUCUCUACUAUUAUU